AGGACGAACGCUGGCGGCGUGCUUAACACAUGCAAGUCGAGCGGUAAGGCCUUUCGGGGUACACGAGCGGCGAACGGGUGAGUAACACGUGGGUGAUCUGCCCUGCACUUCGGGAUAAGCCUGGGAAACUGGGUCUAAUACCGGAUAUGACCUCAGGUUGCAUGACUUGGGGUGGAAAGAUUUAUCGGUGCAGGAUGGGCCCGCGGCCUAUCAGCUUGUUGGUGGGGUAAUGGCCUACCAAGGCGACGACGGGUAGCCGACCUGAGAGGGUGACCGGCCACACUGGGACUGAGACACGGCCCAGACUCCUACGGGAGCAGCAGUGGGAAUAUGCACAAUGGGCGAAAGCCUGAUGCAGCGACGCCGCGUGAGGAUGACGGCCUUCGGGUUGUAAACCUCUUUCAGCAGGACGAAGCGCAAGUGACGGUACCUGCAAGAAGAAGCACCGGCUAACACGUGCCAGCAGCCGAC
rnacentral:rRNA from 1 species